GUAGCGGUUCUUGCAUUAGACUUCACAAACCCAGUCAUACCAAGGCUCGGCGGCUUUUCAUAGGUAGUACGGUCUUGAAAACCGUUAGAGUGCAAGCUCACAUGGGUUCGAAUCCCAUCCUCUCCGCCA
rnacentral:tRNA from 1 species